GAAAUGCGAUAAGUAGUGUGAAUUGCAGAAUUCAGUGAAUCAUCGAAUCUUUGAACGCACAUUGCGCCCCUUGGUAUUCCAUGGGGCAUGCCUGUUCGAGCGUCAUCUACACCCUCAAGCUCUGCUUGGUGUUGGGUGUCUUUGUCCCGCCUCCGCGCGCGGACUCGCCCCAAAUUCAUUGGCAGCGGUCCUUGCCUCCUCUCGCGCAGCACAUUGCGCUUCUCGAGGUGUUGCGGCCCGCGUCCAGAAAGCAAUCGUUACCGUCUUUGACCUCGGAUCAGGUAGGGAUACCCGCUGAACUUAAGC
rnacentral:misc_RNA from 1 species